GAAAAGCCUGCUUCAAGGCUAUAUUGUGAUAAAGACUUUAUUUUGCUUGGAUAUGCGCACACGUCUUACAAGAAUAUUGACGACAUACAAAGGACCAAUAGACAUAAAAUACUAAAGAAUUUUAGAAAAAAUGAGGGGCACGGUGGUGCAUGUCUUUAAUUCCAGCACUUUGGAGGUAGAGUCAGGUGGAUCUCUGUGAGUUCAUGGCCAGGCUAAUCCACAGAAGGAGUUCCUGCUGGAUAACCCUGUCUCAAAGAAAACCAAAAAGAACCGAACAAAAAUAAUUAGACUAGAUACAACCAAUUACUAGGUGGCAUCUCAGGAUCAUUAUAUGAAAGUUUUUUAAACUAGAAUUUGAAUUUGUUUCAUGAAUACCUACAAGGUAUCCUAGUAAGCAUUUAUUGAGACUACUUUAAUAUUCUUUUUUUUUUGUGUGGUUUGUGAGUGACAUGACUCUCUUUAAUUUCCCUCUCUUUCAGAGGUGUGGCAUUUUUUAUCACAUACCUUGCAUGUUAAAAUGGCUCAGAGUUGCAUAUUUGAUUGUUCAAUACUUUGUUUCCCAGGCUGUCCAAGGGUGCCAGCCGCUGGGUAUUGUGGCUCUAUAGCUCAUCCACUGCCAGGAUGUAUAUCUACAUCAACUGAUUGCACAGGAGACUAAGUCUCCCUGAAGAAAGUCUGUGCUACAGAAUGACAUGUAUGUCUAGUAACUAUUCUCUCACUCUUUCCCCAAAGGAACCUACUUUAAUAUUCUUUAUUAAGAAUAUUUAUUUCUUAGAAUAAUUUGUAUGACUUUAUUAAGUCAUACAAAUAGCUACAAGUUAACAAACUUUAUUAGAAAGGAUAAGCCCAGAGACUUCUCACUUCAGACUGUAGGAAAUGGUAAUUGCGGACGGCCCCGAAGGAGUGUCUGAGUAUGACUGUGGUAGGUCAGAACCAUGGUAGGACAGCUUCAUGGGUUGUGUAACCUUGGAGUUGGAUCUUGGUGUCUUUAAACAGUGAGGGAAAAAAAUCCAAGAAAAUACAGAUUAGAAAGUUCACUUAAAGCAGUGGGGAUGUUCUGUGCUUGUGUUUCAAGAAUUCUGGGAAUCAAGGGGAUUACUUUUUAACUUGUAGACCAGUUCCUAGUACAGAUAAUGGGUUUUCUGUCAACAAAACAGCCAACGGUUCACACAAUGGACUGGAGUUCAGGGUGUGAACUUAAACUAGAAUAAAUAGAUAAACCUCCAGAUGCAAUGGUGGAGUUUGUUCCGUGAAGUAAGCACAUCUGAAAAGAAUGCCAACCUUGGCAGAUUCUUUUGUCUCUAGCUUUGAAUACGAUAAGAAAUGCCCAUCCUUGCUUGCAAACGUUAGAAACUUGCAAUGGUAGCACUUUUACUCAUUAAGUAAUGCACAGAGAUUCCAAAAUCUCCGUCCCAAGACCUUUGGGCUCUCAUUGAAGGAGGUGAGUUAACAGCAGCCACUUUCUUAAGUGGCUGUGGUCACAAGAGAGAUUGUAUGCGUAUGCCACAGUGGCUCUCCUCAAGGGGGCUUGUACUAGCUUGAAGUGAAGGUAGUAGGGGUACUUCUGAAGCCCACAGCUCAGAGUUCUCCAGCACCCUGCAUGUGCUACUUAGGACAUGGCUCUUUCCUCUACCUUUAGAACAGGUGGGUGUGAACACACGCCAAAAUGGCCAGAGAGUAGGCUGUUCAGGUCGGUCAGUCUUCACAUGGAUACCCCCCACACACACAUACAUGCACACACAUACAUGCACACACAUACAUGCACACACAUACAUACACACACACACACACACACAGAGAGAGAGAGAGAGAGAGAGAGAGAGAGAGAGAGAGAGAACAAGUCCACUAUCCCAGAAAACUCCUCCCUGCCAUUUUACAGAGCAGACUGUUUCCACCCAGUCUACUGCAGAGAUGAUGCCCAUCUGAUUUUGACCAUGAACUUCUCAUUAUAUUCCCAUAUCCUGACAGUUUUUUUCUAAGCUACUUUUGAUUUUUGAUAUAUGUUGAAAUAUACAAGCAAAACUAAAAUUAAGCUUUGUUCGUAGAGUGCAAAAAAAGAAAACUUGAUUUUUCUCCAGUUUGUCUAUUUCCUUGUUUCAUUUGUUUCUUUUGUUUUUAUUAUUUGCAUCUGGUGAUUUAAUUUGGACUUACUCUCUACUUUUUUCUGACAUCUUACGGUAAUACCUUAGCUGAUUAAAACCUUCUUCAACUGUAAUCCGCACUCAGUGAAUCUGUUUCCUAAUGUCCCAAGUAGUCCUUUCUUUCACUCAGGUAUUGUUUACAAGUGUGUUUCUUAUGCUAUGGAAGUGAGGAACUUUCUUAGCUUUAUUGCUAUUGGUUCUUAAUUCAGUAGCCAUGUGACCAUAACAUGAUUGCUGAGUGGUUUUUUGACUCUUUGAUGCUUAUUGAGUUUUUUUUUUUUUUAAAGGAUGUGUUUUCUGAAAUGGUUGGAGAUAACUUUUAUUUGAAGAGUUCCACAUUCUACUUUGGACCACCUCCUUGCCAUUUUGUCACUAUUUUUCUCUUCUGUCCUGGGUCCGGAAUCCCCGAGCUUCAGACACACUUGCUCAGGGAAGGAUGACCCUGUGUAUCACGCAGCUGUUAGUUAAGGGCCUUUCUUCUGAUGACCUCUUCAGGCUUUCUCAGCACCCCUCUAAGUGAAUUGCACCUUUGCCAGCUAUAGCUAACGUCAUAGCAUACCUUAAAGACUCCUCCUUUGCCCGAAGACAAGGGAAUUAAUUCUGUCAUUCUAAUUAUUUCUGUAGCGGCGCCAGAGGCUGGGAGAUCUAAGCUACUGCUCCCCUCGGAAACCUCCUAAGCUGGUCUUCUACAUACGGUACACGUUACUCUCAGCAGUACUGCCUUCUGAGCUCCUACUGCAUUCCAGUGUUGGAGCACUACCCUUCUUUGUUACGUUUUAUAUGAAGAAAGCACAACCAGAGAAGCUUUACUAACAGAGGAACACUUAGGCUGGUACUGCUAGGUAGUCCGGGCUGCAUGUAUUAGCCUUCCACAGGGGAAAUAUGGGGGAAAGUAGCACUCAGUAUCUGGAGUUCUUGAGACUUGUGGAAAAUUUUUCCCUUUUCUACAUCAGUUUUGAAUGAUUGGGUCCCUGUCUUCUAAUGCUCUAGAGAGGCAAAUUUGGAAAGGAGCAAUCUAGGACAGGUUUUUAAGCUAUAGGACUAAAUGGAAUAGUCUCAAAAUAGGCAUUGAUAAAAGUGCUAAAUCUCAAGAUAGAAUCCUGGACAGACAUACCAAGAUUCAGAGCCUGAUCGGAGGUACAAGAGCCAUUCAAGGAGACUGAAUAGGAGGUGGGAGGUGGAGGACAGUGAAGAUGACACAACACCAUGGAAGUCAAGACAAAAAAGAGUGCUUUCGGCCAGAGAGAUGGCUCAGUGUUUCUGUGUGUACAGUGAUCUUCUGGAGGACUUGAGUUUGGUUUGUAGCACCCAUGUUAGGUGGGUCACUAUGUCCUGUGACCCCGCUCUAGGGUUUUCUGUUCUUUCUUCUAGCCUCCAUGUAUAUCUGCAUACAUGUAGCAGCACAUGCACAUAAUAUACAUACAUAAAAUAAAGUAAAUUUUAGGGAAAGGAAGAGUGUCUCUAAGAGGAGUGUGCUGGGUGUCAUUAAGGUAUCUAAUUCAAGAAGACAGAAUUGGCUGUUGGUUUAGGUAAUGUCAAGCUCAUUCUUAGAGCAAUGGCCUCAAGAAGUUGGGGUGAAAUCCACUUGGAAACCAAUAACAAAUUCAUCUGGGUAGGAGGAGCAGAUAAAAAAAUGAAGGAAAUGAACAAAUGCGCAAAAAUCUGAUUUAAGAAUUUGUAUGUUGAAGAUCUCGGUUUAAAAAAAAAAAAAAACUUUUGAAGGCCAAAGUGUCAAAGUUUUGUUCUUAUCAUGAAGCUUUUAAAUCUGAGCUAUUCUUUCAACCAGUACCUAGCUCCUAGUAUUGUAGGUGGCCAAAAUGAAUCAUAGAGAAUAGGAAUUCAAUACAAAGGGAAUGUUGGCUUUGGGAACAGCAUGUUCAUUAGUAAUUUGACAGCAACAACUUCCAUGAAAGGUUGUUCUGCAAGUCUUGGAUGUUUGGGAUGUUGUGCUGACUAGUUUAUAAGACAACUUGACAUAAGUUAUAGUCAUCUGACAGGAAGAAACUAAUUGAAUAAUAAUGCCUUUAUAAGAUUUGGCUUUAAGCAAGCCUGAUGGGCAUUUUCUUAAUUAGUAAUUGACCUGAGAGGACCCAGUUCAUUGUGAGUGGGUCACCCCUGGGCUGGUAGUUCUGGGUUUUAUAAGAAAGCGGUCUGAACAAAUCAUGAGGAACAAGCCUGUAAGCAGCACUCCUCCGUGGCCUCUGCGUCAGCUCUUGCCUCCAGAUUCCUGCCCUAUUUAAUUCCUUCUCUAACUUCCUUCAGAUCAUGAACAAUGCUGAAGAAGUAUAAGCCAAAUCAACCCUUUCCUCCCCAGUUUGCUUCUAGCCAUGGUGUUUUAUGACUGCAGUAGAAACCCUGAGUAAGACAGAAAUUGGUACCAGUAUAGUGGAGUAUUGCUGUGAGAGACCUGAUCAUGUUUUGGGGAGGAUGGUGGAAGGACUUUGAAACUUUGGGCUGCAAAAGCUAUUGCGUGUUCCAAGUGUGAUGAGUUAUUCUGUUGGAGCCUGAAAGAUAAGAGUGUUGAGAGAAACACAGAUAGGGGAGGCUGGCUUACGAAAUCCCAGUGGGAAAUUUGAUAAUCUGUGGUUCUGGUUAGCUGGGGCUAAAGAAUUGUCUGAGAUUAGCAAGAGACCAGAACCACAAAAGUGAAACCUUUGCUUUGCUGGGCUAAUUGACAAUGGGCAUCUGGAACUGAGAAAUUAUCAAGGGUGAAGAAGAGACAUGCAUAGUUGAGCCCCAGCUCCAGCAGGAACUCCCUGGGAACCUGAGCUUACUCCAGCCAGUCAAGCAGAAACAGCAGAGCCAUGGCGCUCAAGGACUCACUGCAAUUGUGGUCAUCUGCGUGAGACCGCCACAGGACAAGGUCACUCAAUAUUACAUCAAAGCUGGAUGACUGCCCAGUGACGUCCCGCUCUUCCCCAGGAGACGGUUGACAAGCAAAAUCAGUGGUGCAGUCACCUGUUAAGGUGUCCUAGCUCCAGUAAAGAACCUCCCAUCACACUUGGGUGAGAAACAUGCAAGUCAGUAUUGCUACAGGCAAAAGAAGACAUCAAAGUAAGGGAGGUUUACUGAGAAGGGACUGGUGCACGCGAGAGAAAUGAAGUAUAUAAAAUUAUUGGAACUCAUUUUAUAAAGCGACUGGAAGAAUGACGUGGUGCUCAGCAAAGCAAGCACUGGAGGAGAGACCUUCAUCCUAUCAAAAACUGAUGCUACGGAAACGAGAGGAUGUGGGCUGGGUCCCGCACGAUCCAGUCUAGCUGUUUGAAUUCGGCCUUCAGGUCUUAUUGACUAUACCAUCUUGACUAAAUUAAUGAACCUUUCUGCACUUUGGAUUCCUCAUCUGUAGAAUGGGUUCAAUAAUAGCAAUUACCAUUUUGGGUCACUAUGAAGAUUAAACAGAUGAAAAAUAUGUAUAUAGAUGAUUAUGAAAGUCAGGAUCCCAGAGUUACAGAUCAGUCAACAUCAUCCAUUGUUCUAGAAAGCUGAAAAUUUAUCAUACCUGGGUGAGGCAAUUAUUCGGCAGCAUCAAAGAGAGCUGAAACUUCCAAACUGAGAGCUUAACCUUCCAAAUACAGAAGACUGCCCGACCGUCUUUCUUCCUUCCUGCCUUCCUGCCUUCCUGCCUUCCUGCCUUCCUCCCUCCAUCCUCCUUCCCUUCUUUCCUUCCCUCCCUCCCUCCCUCCCUCCCUCCCUCCCUCCCUCCCUCCCUCCCUCCCUCCCUCCCUCCCUCCCUCCCUUCCUCCCUUCUUUCCUUGCUUCUAAUACAUAUAUUCUGAUUAUGACUUUCCCUUCCUCUUCUCCUCCUAGUUCCUCCCACCUCCCCUUCCAUCCAGAUCCACUCCCUUUAUCUCUCAUUAGAGAAGAAUUUCUAAGGCUUCUAAGAGAUAAUAAUAAAACGUAACAGUAAAAUAUAAUAAGGGAGAAAGGAAACUAGCAUUGGAAUUAGAUAGGACAAGCAAACUGAAGGGAAAGAGCCCGAGAGCAGUCACAACGACCAGAGACCCACUUGUUCACACAGUCAGUAAUUCCAUAAAAACACUAAAGCCAUAAUAUAAGCCCAAAGGACCUGGGCCGACCCGUGCAGGCUCCGUGCUUGCUGCCUCAGUCUCUGUGAGUUCAUUUGAGCUCUGCUCUUGUUGAAUCAGAGGACCUUGUUUCCUUAGUGACCUCCAUCCCUUCUGGAUCUUACACUCUUCACCUCCUCUUCCAUGGGAUUCCCUGAGCUUAUGGGGAGGGGUUUGGUGGAUACAUCCAAUUUACGGUUGAGUAUUCCAAGGUCUCUCACUCUCGGUGUAAUGUUUAAUCUUAAUUUCCAAAAAUCAUUUUCUUAGAUAAGUGAUGUCAAUAAUCAAUAUCCAUUUUUUCCCUGUUAAACCAGAUUUUUGUUUCUACUUUUAUAGGUCAAAAUCACCCCUAAACCGAGGUUUAAGACUCCACUCUCGUCUUGAGAUGUCAACAGCACCUAAGCUAGGCUACUGGGUGCUAUUUCUAUUUACUUUGACUUGGUGCUUGCCUCACUGGCUACUCUUUCUCAGCCUUCAUCAUCAUCUUGAUUUAUCUGUGUCCCUGGCCAUAGGAAUUCCUUGUUUUCAGUUUCUUGGGCCACAUAGCUCAGGCUUGCCAUCACACCUGCUCAGAGCAAGAGGGCCCUGCAACUGAUUGUCCCACCAGUCACGUUCUCAAAUGCAGGGGCACUAAUCACCUCAUUGCCCGCCCCCCCCCCCCGUGCCUGUGACAAAACACAAGUAUUUUAGAACUGUAAUGUCUCGUGAAGAGUGCUCAACCCACCCAAACCAAUGGCAUCAAUGUUAUAAGAGACCUAUUUCAUCCGCUCUCUCUUCCCUUUCUCGGACUCAUUUUCUCGCUGUAUGUCUGUCCUGCUCCAUCCUGCACGUCGAAUCUUUUUGUGUGGAUUGUGAGUUUGUUUCCCAACUCCUAAGACACCCAUACUGUUGCUUGUAUCAGAAGAGUUGAGCAAACAGAAGGUCAGUUGCUCAACGAUCCCAACUUGAAUGCUUUAUUUUGAGAAACAUAGAGAAAGGUACUGAGGUGAAAUGACGGAAUCACACUGGUCCCCUACCCAGAGGCAGAAAUGGGAGGAGAAAAAGAGACGAGAAGGCAGACACAUGGCUUCUCCUCCUGGCUGUGUCUGGUUCCAUAUUUGGAAAAAUAACCCUAAAUUUCUCUUCAUUUAUUUUUGUUUAUAAUAAAAAGUGAGGCUAAGCUUGAGAUGGGUCAGGCUGUCAGAGAGCAAGCAAGGAAGGAAAUCAGGCUGAAGUGCAUGGCACUUGGGAGUGUGAGGAAUGAGGAAGCUAGGGCUUGCCUUUCUUUUCCGUUUUAAAUAUUAAAAAUCACCAAGUCCAGUAGAAAUCCUACCUUCCUAUUUCCUUCCUGAGGGUAUGCGUGAGACCGUCCUAACUUUUGCUUGCUGGAAGUCUGCAGUUUUAGAGUCAACUUUUUCAAAGCUGAUACCAUGUCCACAAUUCCACAUGAAGACGGACUUAGAGACCGCCAAACCCGCAUGGGCCCCCAAGCUGCACAGAGCCCUGAUGAAUGAAUAGGACCACAUUAUAAGGGUAUCCAGAGAGUAGGGCAAAAGUUACCGACUGUCUUCCUGAAAUAUACCGGCAAGAAUGCGAGCCUUAAUUAACGAAGCCCAAGGUUGAUUUUUCUUGCUGCCUUUUUCUCUGAAAGACAAAUAAUAAGAAAUGAAUGAGGUUGGGAGCAAAUGAGAACCAUAUUGGGAAAGCGAAGCCUAGUCAAACUUUUGGCUGGGCUGGUUGCAAAGAGCUAGAGUUCUUUAAUCAUCUCAUUGGAGAUGUAGCCAAAAGAAAAAUGCAAUUUGAAACACACACACUCAUGCACACACUCACACACACAUACACACACACUCACAUACACUCUUCCACACCCACACCCUCCCUCUUUUUCAUUGCAGAUGAAUCAGGAUGGUAAGAUGGUGGAGACAGGAUAUGAUGAGAACCAUUCCUGCUCUCCACCUACUUUAUAAAAAGCCUUGGCAAUCAUAUCUGGGAGACCCAUCUAUCAAUUCUUAUAGCUUAAGUGUGUAUGGUACAAUGUUCGUUGACCCCAAUAAGCCCCGAGGCAGCUGAAGUUGGCCGUGGGUUGGGUAUGUGCUAAAAUGGUAGCACCCGGAGGCUCCAGACUUUUCUAAGAGAUGUGUUUCUGGAAGAAGAAGGAUCUGUUUGAGAAUGAAAGCACUCUACUCCAUCUGAAAAUGGGCAAGGCCCCUAUAAUAGGAUUCAGAUAAGCCUCUUUUGGAAGUAAGAUACCCCCUUACUAGCGAACAAAUUGAUGAAACACAGAACCAUUUUUCUUAUGCCUGGCUUGGCCGGGUCAGAUGUACACAAAAUCCCCUCUCCACUCUGCUCUUCACAAUUCUUUGGUGUAAGGAUUUAAAAGGUGCUAUUGUCUUUGUUAAUAAAGAGACAGAAAACACCGUCUUGUUUUAUGGCAGUAAAAGAUUGUGAUGGAAAAAUUUUUUAAUAAAGUCUCACUUAGGUUGAUAGUAAAUAAAUUCAAUGUACCUUAGGAAUGUUUUUAUUCAGCUUUCAUUAUUUCCUUUGCUUAAAGAGAAUGGUUUAGCUUCCUGGUUCCCUUAUCUCCUUAUUUAUUAUUCUCCAGGGAACAAUGGAGUCUCUUAGCUUCCGAAUUAUCUGGGAACACUCAGCUCAGAUUCUUCGACUUUCAGAGGGGGAGUUAGUUGCUCACAGAGAGAAACAUCUCGAUUUCCCAGUGAAGGUUACUUCCCACUGUGGGAGUCCAGAGACGCCAGACUCACUUGAGUGACAGAGAGCCAUAUCUCCAAAUCUGGCUUCUGGAAAUAGCAGAAUGCAUUUCCAACCUCCGCUUGCCAAUUGCCUAUUAUAGUUAUCAGUUUGUACAGAACAAAGAAGUGAGAAGCUUUAUUGGCCCUUCUUUGCCAUCCCCUUUCAUAGUUUAAAGGGCAAGUUAAUGAAUGGAGAACUUUAAAAAGAAAACAGUUUUAGUUCUGAUCAGGGUUCUCUUUCUUUAGGGGACUUAAUUUAGGAACAAUAUUACUAUGGUCUAGAUAGGAGCCACCCAAAAGUCCGUGUGGGCAAAGGCUUGGUUUCUAGACUGGCAUUACUGAAAGGUAGUAGAAACUAUAAAGAAGAGAUCUAGCUGGGUGGUGUUGGUGCAUGCCUUUAAUCCCAGUACUUGGGAGGCAGAGUCAGACAGAUCUUUGUGAGUUUAAGGCCAGCCUGGUCUACAGAGCUAGUUCCAGGACAGCCAGAGCUGUUACACAGAGAAAUCCUAUCUCGAAAAACAAAAUAUAUGACAAAACAAACAAGCAAGCAAACAAAAAGAGAUCUAAUGGGAGGUCUGUAGGUCAUUGGAGGCAUGGCCUUGAAGAAACAGUGGGACCCUGGUCUCCUGCAGGUGGGAUGGCUAGCUAGUGUUAUCACCCUUACUGAAUCCAGACCACCAGGGUGUCAUGCCUCUGGUCAUGCCUACAUGGAUUGUCUUCAUUAUGUGUGUGUUAACUGAUGUAGGAAAGAACACCUUAACUGCAGGAAGUACCUGGACCAUGUCAGUGGAGAGGGCAUGUUGAGCAAGAGCUAGCACACAUCCAUCAGUUGCUGCCCGUCUCUUCACUGAGGAUACAAUGUGAGCACCUCUCUCCAGCUCCCACUGCUAUGCCUUUUCCCACAGUGAUGGAUUGCAACCUUGAACUGUGAGCUGAAAUAAGCCAUUACCUCCUGACCUUGCUUCCUUUCGAGCAUUUCGUCACAGCAACAUGAAAAGAAACUAAGAUAUCUGUUCUUGCCGUGACAUGCUGUCAGAGGCCCAAAAUAGCUGGGUCAAUUGAGCAUGGUGGACACUCUUAGAACUAUAAGAUGAAUAGAGUCUCUUCUUUCUAACAGUUGCUUGU